GAUGAACGCUGGCGGCGUGCCUAACACAUGCAAGUCGAGCGGACAGAUGAGGCUUUCGCCUCGCUGACGCUACCGGCGGACGGGUGAGUCCUACGAGUCUAACUUGCCUAUAGGACUGAGGUCCGUUCGCGAACCCUGAGACAGCAUCCGUCCUGAUAGAGAACCUGGGGGUUCUAUAGUCCAAGCGCUAUCUGCUGUCCCUUAGACAUAGUUCCUGGUCGCAUUAGCUAGUUGGUAGGGUAAAGGCCUACCAAGGCUACGAUGCGUAGCUGAUCUGAGAGGAUGAUCGGCCACACUGGAACUGAGACACGGUCCAGACUCCUACGGGAGGCAGCAGUAGGGAAUAUUCCGCAAUGGGCGAAAGCUUGACCCAGCAAUGCCGCGUGAGUGAUGAAGGUCUUCGGAUCGUAAAGCUCUGUUAGUAGGGAAGAACAAAUGUGUGUGAAACUAUGCCCGUCUUGACGGUACCUACACAGUAAGCCACGGCUAACUACGUG
rnacentral:rRNA from 1 species